GUCCAGAGCGGUUGAGGAGCCUGUUCACAGUCACAUAGUAGUUCAGAGGACUCACCCCUAGUCUUGGAGUCAGAAGUUUUUCUACUAAGCUAACAUUUUGGAGUGUUUUAUGGAGAAAGGGCUGUAAGGCUGCAUCUUGUCAAGGGUUCCAAAUAUGCACAUUUCAAGGGUGUGCCCAGGAGUCCCAGAGUAAGCCUCUUCCCCAUAUCAGUCUCUUUAACAGACUGUGUGAACUUGUCUGGACUUAUUUCACUCUUUUGGACAAUUUGUGAUCUUUGCCCUGGGUACUUGGGGCUCUGUGACAAGGAGCUGAUAGUGAAUUAGGCUCAUCUGCCUCCUCCUGGCACAACCACUAGCCUCAACAAAGUCAAAGCAUUUUCUCUGACCAAUCCCCCUGCCUGCAGUGCUUUCCUUCCUAAUCUCCACCUCCCCUAGCUUCCUUCAAGUCUCAGGCAAAGACCCACCUUCUACAAGAAGUCUCUCCCAUGUCUCCCUACCCUUAUUGCUUUUCCUCUGAGACCAUUCCCAACCUUUCCUGUUUACAGUAUAUCUUGUUUUUGUAUGAUUAUUUGCAUGUUGUCUCCCCUCCCCCAACUAGAUUAAAAUCCCUCUAGAGAGCAGAGACUGGGUCUUUUUCUUUCUUUUUUUUUUGUUUCUAUAUCUUCCUUCUUUCCUUUCUUUCUCUUCCUUCCCUUCUUUCUCUCUUCCUUCCUUUCUCCCUUUCUUCCUUCCUUCUUUCUUCUCUCCUUCCUUCCUUUCUUUCUCUCUUCCUUCCUUUCUCCCUUUCUUCCUUCCUUCUUUCUUCUCUCCUUCCUUCCUUCCUUUCUCUUUCUUCCUUCCUUCUUUCUUCUCUCCUUCCUUCCUUUCUCUUUCUUCCUUCCUUCUUCUCUCCUUCCUUCCUUCCUUUCUCUUUCUUCCUUCCUUCUUUUUUCUCUCCUUCCUUCCUUCCUUUCCCUAGCACUUAGCAGCAGAUCUGCCACAUAAUAAAUACUUUUUAUUUGUUUGUUUAAACCCUUACCUUCCAUUUUAUAAUUGAUACUGUGUAUUGGUUCCAAGGCAAAAGAGUUGUAAGGGCUGGCAAUGUGGGCUAAAGGACUUGCCCAGGAUCACAUAGCUGGGAAGUGUCUGAGGUCAGAUUUGAACCUAGGACCUCCCAUCUUUAGGCCUGGCUCUCUAUCCACUGAGCUACCCAGAUGCCCCCCAAUAAAUGCUUUUUAAAUGCUUAUUGGCUGAUUAAC
rnacentral:lncRNA from 1 species